GACAGAGGCCUCAAGCGUUAGGCGGAAUCACUGGGCUUAAAGCGUGUGUAGGCGGAUCGUUAAGUGUCUUGUGAAAUCCCACGGCUCAACCGUGGAACUGCUGGGCAUACUGGCGAUCUUGGGCCAUUCAGGGGCGACUGGAACAAGCGGUGGAGCGGUGAAAUGCGUAGAUAUCGCUUGGAACGCCGAAGGUGAAAACAGGUCGCUGGGGAUGUGCCGACGCUGAGACACGAAAGCCAGGGGAGCGAACGGG
rnacentral:rRNA from 1 species